rnacentral:rRNA from 1 species
AGUACAGUNNAGGUNNNCGGAAUUCGUGGUGUAGCGGUGAAAUGCUUAGAUAUCACGAAGAACUCCGAUUGCGAAGGCAGCUCACUGGACUGCAACUGACACUGAUGCUCGAAAGUGUGGGUAUCAAACAGGAUUAGAUACCCUGGUAGUCCACACAGUAAACGAUGAAUACUCGCUGUUUGCGAUAUACAGUAAGCGGCCAAGCGAAAGCAUUAAGUAUUCCACCUGGGGAGUACGCCGGCAACGGUGAAACUCAAAGGAAUUGACGGGGGCCCGCACAAGCGGAGGAGCAUGUGGUUUAAUUCGAUGAUACGCGAGGAACCUUACCCGGGCUUAAAUUGCAGUGGAAUGAUGUGGAAACAUGUCAGUGAGCAAUCACCGCUGUGAAGGUGCUGCAUGGUUGUCGUCAGCUCGUGCCGUGAGGUGUCGGCUUAAGUGCCAUAACGAGCGCAACCCUUAUCUUCAGUUACUAACAGGUCAUGCUGAGGACUCUGGAGAGACUGCCGUCGUAAGAUGUGAGGAAGGUGGGGAUGACGUCAAAUCAGCACGGCCCUUACGUCCGGGGCUACACACGUGUUACAAUGGGGGGUACAGAAGGCAGCUAGCGGGUGACCGUAUGCUAAUCCCAAAAUCCUCUCUCAGUUCGGAUCGAAGUCUGCAACCCGACUUCGUGAAGCUGGAUUCGCUAGUAAUCGCGCAUCAGCCAUGGCGCGGUGAAUACGUUCCCGGGCCUUGUACACACCGCCCGUCAAGCCAUGGGAGCCGGGGGUACCUGAAGUCCGUAACCGCGAGGAUCGGCCUAGGGUAAAACUGGUGACUGGGGCUAAGUCGUAACAAGGUAACCA